rnacentral:lncRNA from 1 species
UUUCUUCUUUUCUUUUCCUUUUCUUCUUUUUCUUGCAUUUUCUCUUCUUUCUUUAUUUAUCUACAAUUUCCAGAAAUAAAAUAAAUAAGCGAUUAAUACUACAAAAAUAAACAAAAAAUAGGCACUUAAAUAUGCAAAAAUAUGGACUAAUCAAACUUCCCCAUACCUAUCUUUUGCUCGUCCUCGAGUAAAAAUCAAAAAGAAAAGAAAAUAAACUAAGAAAACUAGAUGCGAUUCCUAGGCUCCUUUUCGUAGGCGUGACGGGUGAUUUUAGGUUCACCAACCCGUUAAACUCGUAGACGAUCUCUACAAGAGGAGUUUUGUCUCCUAAGGGUUUACAGAAGAUAUACCCAUGAAAUCUGUGAGACAUUCUAGUAAGU